CCUAAAGGCCUCCUGCAAAUAAAUUGGAGAGAGACUGAACAUCCAUGGGGUCCUCCAGCCUCCUGCUGCUCGAUCACAGAUAGGAGAAGAGAAUGGUCAAUUUGUAAAUGAUCCAGUGCUUAAUCUUGAAAAACAUACAUCAUCCUUAUCUGUAGAUGAUCUACAAUAUAGCCUUAAUAGUGGCCUACCAUUUGAGCCCAUAGUAAGAGACUCUGGAGCCCAUCACCCCAGCAGUUACUCCUGGAAGUAUUAUGUAAGGUCAAGACAGUGAUCCAAAACCAACUGGCCAUUGGUUUGGUACCGAUCCAGUGGAGGAAUGUCAUCUAUAGAAUCACCAACACCACUUUCCACAUCACUCUGGAUGUUCCUUGGAAAUCCAACUUACUGCCAUUCAAGUACUGAACAGUCCAACCCUAAAGCUACAUAUUAACUGGAGUGGAUUUGUGGGAACAUCUUAUGGUCAACUUGGAAAACUACAUGCCUUUAUUCACAAAGGUGUGAAAUCCAGUCCUGUGUAGAGGGCCACUCCCAGGCCUUUGAACCAUUCAAGGUCACUUCCAGAUAGGCCCGAUGUUGAGGAACUGGUCUGGUGUGUGGAGGGAGAUGGGUUCAGUGUAUACUGUUGUGCAACAGAGGAAGUUAUAAUUUGUUUAAUAUUAUUAGUAGUAAAUAUGGUAAUAUCCAAGGCUGCAAUUGAGAUUGAGGCCCUAUUGUGCUGGGUGCUGUACAAUCACAAAAAAAAGACAGUUGCAGCCCUGAAAGGUUUACGAUCUAAAGAUUUAGUGCUUACAAUAUGCUGGGAAAAGUACAAUUAACUAAAGAGGCUUUGACUCAGAAAAGCAGUGAAGCAGUAUCUACCGAAAUAGGAAGGAGAAUUAUGAGGAGGUAUUAGCUUACAUGGCUUUUGCUCUCCACCUCUUUUCUUAGAACAUUCACAAAAACAGGAAAAGAUUGCCUGAUUUCCUAAUUAAGGGCCCAAUUAUUCUGUCAGCUACACUGGUGUAAAUCUUGAGUAAUUCCUUUGGCUUCAGCAUGUUACUUUAAAUUUACAUUAAUGUAUUUGAGAAAAGAAUUUGGCCCUAAAAAGGACAGACGGGAAAUGCCUUUGAUGAUCAUCAGCUGAAUCAGGCUUUAUUGGCAUGACAAGCUGUUGAGUGUUGCCAAAGUGUAAGAAAAAGACAGGCCAUCAAUCAUCUGUCAGAGGCAGGUAUGAGCCACCCAGAAUAGAGUUACACACUAGGUUUGGGAUCGGAUCCCCUGUGUCUGUCUCUCAUUACAGUCCUUUCCUGAUCUUGUAGCAGCAGGUUGCUGUAACGUGAAGCCAAAAUAGAAUAUCAUUUGGUUAUGAGCACUGGGAGGAUAUGUCAAUAUGAAAAUAUAUGAAGAGAAUAUGUAAAUUGACGAAGAGACUAUAUUAACUAAGGAUCCAAACCUGCAGACCUUCUAAGGCCAUGUCUACACUACAGUGGCACAGUACAGCACUGUAGCUGUGCUGCUGUAGCACCCUAACGUAGAUGCUUCCUACGUCGACUGAAGGUUUUUUUUCUGUCAAUGUAGUUAAUCCAUUUCUCUGGGAAGCAGUAGCUAGGUCAACAGAAGAAUUCUUCCAUUAACCAAGCUGCAUCCACACUGAGGGUUAGGCUGACUUUACUGUAGUGCUCAGGGUGCAACAUUUUUCACAGCAUUGAGUGACGAUGAUCUCAUUUUUAAGUGUAGAGCAGGCCUAAGAAAACUAUUUUGGGCUUGAUCCUGCAUUCCUUUUGAAUCCAAAACUCAUUGAUUUUGUGGUAUUCUGAAAAUUGUGUUAAAAUUGUGAUAGCACUUUACAUUCCAUGGGGUUUUGCUAGGGCUUUGUAGGGAAGCAUGUGAUCAGAUUCACUCUGUGUGUAGCCAGCCAGGCUAGAGUGACAAACAGGGUCAGCGUGAGCUGUGCCUCUGCAUUUUUAGGAAGCAGCCUGCUUUCUCUCUCUCUGAUUUUGGAUUCUUAUUUGUUAUUAUUCUGAAUUCUAAGAAUAAAGUAGUGUUUGUUACAAGCUUCCAGCAAGAGUAUUUUAUGUUUUUAUCUAACUUCUGUGUCUGUAUGCUGUGAAACAACAGAUUUCACUGUCUCCUUCUUUCCUUGACUUCAUUGGAAUGCUCAUGUGAGUUAAGGGAGGUAACUAGUGCUUGGGAGUGGGAGAGAGGCAGUAGGUAGGGGGAAAGGAAUAAAGUUUCAGUAUUAAGUUGCUCUCCACAUUUCAUGAAUACUCAGCUCAAAUGUACAUUCAGCACCAGUUUGUGGCCAAUCAGUACCUUGUGGUUUCUGCUGGGGGUGUGUGCAGUUUCAGUCACAGGCUAAAUAAGCGACAAAGAGUCCUGUGGCACCUUAUAGACUAACAGACGUAUUGGAGCAUAAGCUUUUACACAGCAUAAGCAUUCUUUAACUUGGAAAAUGUUUGAUUUGUAUAUUGAAUUACUUCUGAAAAAAGCCAUGGCUUUAAAUUACAGAGAGUAGAGUUAAGGGGAGAAAACUAGGAUUUUAAUCUAACAAAUACUUCGAGAGGGUUUACAGAAUUUUUGGUUCAUGGAAGUUCACUCAUCUCUUGAUAGGUUGGAAGAAGUGAAAAACUAUAUUCAUUGUGAGUGCUGUGUGUGUGUAGUGGUACUGACAAAUCAUCCUCUGCAUUUAUGGAAUCUCCAUUUAAAAUCUUCACAGAAAUCUCAAACCAAGAGCAGAAUAUGUUACGGCCUAGCUCUAUACAAGUUUCUACAGUAGUUUCUGGGUGCUGCUGGCCCGUCACUUGUAAAUAGCUAUUAGCUUACUCAUUGUUAUUAUUAUGAUUUGACAUUUGUGUAUUGCACCAUGGAAGCACAUGGAACUUUACAGAGAUAAUCUUCUAGGUUAUGAGAUAAAUGGUUUCUAAAGUUCUCCAGUCUAAUUUACUGCUACUUACUUUUCAGAUUAAAGAUCAAAAGAAUCAAA